rnacentral:rRNA from 1 species
CCUACGAGCGGCAGCAGUGGGGAAUAUUGCACAAUGGGGGAAACCCUGAAGCAGCAACGCCGCGUGGAGGAUGAAGGUUUUCGGAUUGUAAACUCCUUUUGUUAGAGAAGAUAAUGACGGUAUCUAACGAAUAAGCACCGGCUAACUCCGUGCCAGCAGCCGCGGUAAUACGGAGGGGGAAAGCGUUACUCGGAAUCACUGGGCGGAAAGAGCGCGUAGGCGGGAUAGCAAGUCAGAUGUGAAAUCCUAUGGCUUAACCAUAGAACUGCAUUUGAAACUGGUAUUCUAGAGUAUGGGAGAGGUAGGUGGAAUUCUUGGUGUAGGGGUAAAAUCCGUAGAGAUCAAGAGGAAUACUCAUUGCGAAGGCGACCUGCUAGAACAUAACUGACGCUGAUGCGCGAAAGCGUGGGGAGCAAACAGGAUGAGAUACCCCGGUAGUC